rnacentral:rRNA from 1 species
AUUGAACGCUGGCGGCAUGCUUUACACAUGCAAGUCGGACGGCAGCACAGAGAAGCUUGCUUCUUGGGUGGCGAGUGGCGAACGGGUGAGUAACGCAUCGGAACGUACCGGGUAAUGGGGGAUAACUGUCCGAAAGGACAGCUAAUACCGCAUACGCCCUGAGGGGGAAAGCGGGGGAUCUUAGGACCUCGCGUUAUUCGAGCGGCCGAUGUCUGAUUAGCUGGUUGGCGGGGUAAAGGCCCACCAAGGCGACGAUCAGUAGCGGGUCUGAGAGGAUGAUCCGCCACACUGGGACUGAGACACGGCCCAGACUCCUACGGGAGGCAGCAGUGGGGAAUUUUGGACAAUGGGCGCAAGCCUGAUCCAGCCAUGCCGCGUGUCUGAAGAAGGCCUUCGGGUUGUAAAGGACUUUUGUCAGGGAAGAAAAGGGGCAUGUUAAUACCGUGCUCUGAUGACGGUACCUGAAGAAUAAGCACG